GACAGAGGGUGCAACCGUUGUUCGGAAUUACUGGGUGUAAAGCGCGUGUAGGCGGCAGACCAAGUCGGCGGUGAAAGCGCCCGGCUCAACUGGGCGAGGUCCGUGGAAACUGGUCAGCUGGAGGACGGUAGAGGCGAGUGGAAUUCCCGGUGUAGUGGUGAAAUGCGUAGAGAUCGGGAGGAACACCUGUGGCGAAGGCGGCUCGCUGGGCCGGUCCUGACGCUGAGACGCGAAGGCGUGGGGAGCGAACGGG
rnacentral:rRNA from 1 species